GUCGGGAAUUUUGCGCAAUGGACGAAAGUCUGACGCAGCAACGCCGCGUGAGGGAUGACGGCCUUCGGGUUGUAAACCUCUUUUGUCAGGGAAGAUGAUGACGGUACCUGGCGAAUAAGCCACGGCUAACUACGUGCCAGCAGCCGCGGUAAUACGUAGGUGGCAAGCGUUGUCCGGAUUUACUGGGCGUAAAGAGCGCGCAGGCGGUCGUUCAAGUCGCGUGUGAAAGCCCCCGGCUCAACUGGGGAGGGUCACGCGAUACUGAUCGACUCGAAGGCAGGAGAGGGUAGUGGAAUUCCCGGUGUAGUGGUGAAAUGCGUAGAUAUCGGGAGGAACACCAGUGGCGAAGGCGACUACCUGGCCUGUUCUUGACGCUGAGGCGCGAAAGCUAGGGGAGCAAACGGGAUUAGAUACCCGGGUAGUCC
rnacentral:rRNA from 1 species